UACGGAGGGUGCGAGCGUUGUCCGGAAUCACUGGGCGUAAAGGGCGCGUAGGCGGCCCGGUAAGUAGGGGGUGAAAUCUUGCGGCUUAACCGCAAGGCUGCCUUCUAAACUGCCAGGCUCGAGCACAGUAGAGGCAGGUGGAAUUCCCGGUGUAGCGGUGGAAUGCGUAGAGAUCGGGAAGAACAUCGGUGGCGAAGGCGGCCUGCUGGGCUGUUGCUGACGCUGAGGCGCGACAGCGUGGGGAGCAAACGGG
rnacentral:rRNA from 1 species